UACGGGGGGGGCAAGCGUUGUUCGGAAUUACUGGGCGUAAAGGGCUCGUAGGCGGCCAACUAAGUCAUACGUGAAAUCCCUCGGCUUAACCGGGGAACUGCGUCUGAUACUGGAUGGCUUGAGUUCGGGAGAGGGAUGCGGAAUUCCAGGUGUAGCGGUGAAAUGCGUAGAUAUCUGGAGGAACACCGGUGGCGAAGGCGGCAUCCUGGACCGAUACUGACGCUGAGGGACGAAAGCUAGGGGAGCGAAUGGG
rnacentral:rRNA from 1 species